AUAAGAAGCCCCGGCUAACUCCGUGCCAGCAGCCGCGGUAAUACGGAGGGGGCUAGCGUUAUUCGGAUUUACUGGGCGUAAAGCGCACGUAGGCGGCGUAUCUAGUCAGAGGUGAAAGCCCGGGGCUCAACCCCGGAAUUGCCUUUGAUACUGGUAUGCUUGAGUUCGGAAGAGGGUAGUGGAAUUCCAAGUGUAGAGGUGAAAUUCGUAGAU
rnacentral:rRNA from 1 species